CAAAGAGAAGCAAUACCGUGAGGUGGAGCAAAACUCAAAAAAAUGAUCUCAGUUCGGACUGUAGGCUGCAACUCGCCUACACGAAGUUGGAAUUGCUAGUAAUCGUGGAUCAGCAUGCCACGGUGGAUACGUUCCCGGGUCUUGUACACACCGCCCGUCACACCAUGGGAGCUGGUAACACCCGAAGUCAGUAGUCUAACCGCAAGGAGGACGCUGCCGAAGGUGGGAUUAGCGACUGGGGUGAAGUCGUAACAAGGUAAC
rnacentral:rRNA from 1 species